rnacentral:tRNA from 1 species
AGCAGCGUGGCUCAGUGGCAAGAGCCCGGGCUUGGGAGUCAGAGGUCAUGGGUUUGAAUCCCAGCUCUGCCA